GCACGCCGGAUCUCUGGAGAGACAAGUGUGUGCUAGCUGUCUGGAAGUUAAGGGCAGCGUCCCCGGUUGUACGGUUGGUGCAAAAACCACAAGACCUUGAGUCAACAAUGUGGCGGGAGCUGAAUCCUUCUUCUGCUCCUCCUGGGAUUGUGUGAGUAUGGGACACAUUUGGUGGGAUCCCCCAUUCAAGAUGGACUUUGAGUAAGCUGAAAGUCUGAUGACCAAAUCAACUCUAUGGGCAUUCAACCCUCUUGCCACUGAACUACAGACACUGGACAGUACAACCCCAUCCUCUUUAGGUUUACAGACUUGGGGGAAAAGGCUAAUGGAUUGGACUGGUUCAGCUGGUGUGAAGGUGAACAGUCCUCUGAGGGGGAGUGAGUAUGAAUAUAGGAAAUACAGAAGACUCAGAAACGAAGGUUAGAAAUUAGGAGGACUGUAGGUCUAUACUAUACUAACCCUGAAUGUAUUUCUGAUAGCCUUUAUAUACUUUACAGUAUCGUGGGAAACAAAGUCACAAGGUAGAAGAGCAAAUGGCCGAUGUACAUAGGAUAUCUAUUCCCAUCUAGAGGCCUCCCUGUUCCUUCCACCAAGAUUAAUAGAAUAUUCAGCCACUCACCUCAGUAUUCAAGUGUAUCCCCUCUUAGUGAUUCAAGAGUCAGCAGACAGGGAAACCUGCUAGCAGACUCUGAUCUGCCUUGACUACCUGACAGGAAAGCUUUCACAGAAGCAGGUCAAAAUGUCUCCUGACAUCUCCCUCUUUUUUAUUUUAUAAAAGCCAAAGCUGUCUCAGUGAUUGGUGCAAAAAGAGUGUGCCUGUCUUAGAUGUCUUCUCAAAAACUGCGAAUCUUACCCAUCUUCAGAACAUGAAUCCUGGCACUCAUGUCCUGUCUUAAGUUGAUCCACCUCUGAGGCAAUCUUACCCAUAUUUUACUAGCAGCCUCUGCAAUGGGGGAUGUUACCCAUUAGGUUACAGUUUUGAGACAAAUAAGAUGGAGACCUGCAUGGGUGUUCAAAAAGUAAUGGAGGGCAAACUUAAUCACAAGUGGUAACAAGUAUAAUCCUAUAACCAUUAGAGUACCUAAGGCAAGUACUGAGAAGGCCAAAUGAGUAAAAGAAAUUAGAAAGUAUGCCCUUACCAGCCUUGAGCAGGUUUUUUCCAGCCUUGAGCAGGCUGAUUAGACCUUGAGCAUUUGCCAUAUUGGACAAUAAAGACCUAGGUGGAGUCAUCUGCCUUGGUUGCAUAUGCAAUUUCCUACAGGAACUUUGAAUAGACUGCCUGUUGACCUUGCUUUGCUCUGAAACAAAGGAUGGGUCUGUGGGCUCUCCCUAUAUAAAUGAAGUGCCGAAUAUUAAACUUGGAGCCUUGAUCAGAACCUUGUCUUGGGUUCAUUCUUCUCUCACUGCCCCCUUCCCCAUCUCUUUCAUUUCCAGUGCCACCUUUCAGGUAAACCCAGUUUGUCCAUGGUCACUGGACAGCUAUAGAUGGCAUCCUAUAAUAAAAUGAGGGGCCUGAAAAUGGGGGGGGCUCUGAGAAAUGCUGUCUUGGGUGGAGCUCCACAGAAAACAGAAACAAGUAACAGUAUCCUGCACGGUAAGCAAUGAACAGCAUUAAUGCUAGCGCUAAUUAUAUUUUUUUGGAGGCUGUUGUUGCAGGAGGUGCAUUUGAGAGGGAUACAGGCUAGACCAAAGAUGUGUUGAUCCAACGCCAACUUCACCUAUGGAUGACAGCACAAUUGCAUUUUUCCACAGCCAAAAAGAGCUGCAUCAGAUUGGUUGCCUUCAUACGGGAUCACUUUCAGCAAGCUCAGCUAUUCACCGUGGCAGUUUUUCAUCAUGAACCAAAUGCUCUGGAAUCUACCUGUCACUUUCAGCAUCCUGUGGAAAAGAGAAACAUGCCCUCUUCCCCAUAUUAAUAUCUGAUCAGGACCAUGCCAUAUGUCGCAACCUGGCCACAAAAUUCUGGAACAACUCAAUCUGGACCCUGCCCAAUUCCAGAAAAAUCCUCCGUCUGCCUCUCUGUAGAAGAUAGUUUAUACCAGGCUUUCUUAAUCAUUAACUUAAUCAUUAACCUAAUCAUUAACUUGUGCAUAAACAGGACAUAAGAGAAAUACAUCUGAAACUGAGUUGGAAGCUUCCCCUCUGCUGCCUAGCUUUUACAGGCCUGGAAGGUGCUACACAGGUUGCUGGGGUGAGCUGUGACCAACAGAUGCUAUUGGCUUCAGCAUGCUACUCUCCUGGCCUGGCUGGCACACAAGCUGUGGCUACUGGUGCAACAGUGGCAUGACUGAUACAGAGGUAACCAACAACUUUCUGAUUGUAUUUGUGCCAGUUCCAUGGAAGAAAACUCACAUCCUGACAGUGAACCUGGUCAAAAGCUUGUGGCUCGAGAGGUUUGCAGGGCUAUGUGAGAUAUUUACAAGUUCAACAGUGACACAUUUCACAUUUCAACAAUCAACAGCAUCGAUCCAUUCAAUAAGACAAGAUAAUGGCUCACAUGCACCAGUACAUAAGAUCUUAAAUGUGCAUUUUGGUUUUUUUUUUCUUCAGCUCUGAAACAAACAAAAAAAGAUUUUUCACUAGUACUAAGUUGAAAGACAUCUCUUAAUAAAGAUCAUACUUCU
ensembl:lincRNA Gm15834 predicted gene 15834